AUGAGGCCAGGCUCUUUCACAGCUGGCAUUUGAUGAGAAAAGGGAAUUGAAAUGUAGGUGAUUGAUUUGGACCUGGAGAAGCUGAUUGGAUGUCACCCUGUUCUUCCCGACAAUGGGGACCGGUCUGUGCAAAGGGGACUUCCUGUGACCCCUGCGGGUCCACCGGAAGUUCUGAUUUCUCCCCGUGGAAUAGGGGCGCGAAGGCUGCCCUGUCACACACGGCCCAAGAGAUUGAUUACCUGGGCUCUGGCAGCCUCUCUGGGUGGCCUACCUGUUUGGGUGGUCCAGACCUCCACGCCUGAGAGGCUGAGCCCUUGGUCAUCACGUCCUCCUUUGGCUGUGGCUGCUGCUCUUGUCCAUUCACCAUCAAAUAUGGAUGAAAGAGUCCAAGGCGACACCUUGAUGGAUCUCCUGAGUGCCGAAGGGAGUCUUCUCUGCCCCCAUUGUGCAGUAGCUUCAUCCUCCUGAGAAUCCCCCUGCGAUUCCCCAGGAGUCCUUAAUUCCUCUCAGCACCGUUUAAGAUGAGCAACUACACAAGACAAAGACGAAAGAGUUUUUCAGCUCAAAAAUCCUGUGAUUCUUUGAUUCUAAGAAGUGAUUUUCUUACAAGGAGUUUGCCUAAGUGUCCACACGGCUUGUCUCCUCCCAGCGGCCGGCCUGCCGGUGUGUGUGCUGUGUGUGGAGAGGGGCCUUAGGCCUGUGCUGUGAGUGAUGUCUGCAGAGCAUGGGGUUGAUUUGGAAGAAGGUGUGAUCCGAAGUUGUGUUUGACCUCAGCUCCUGUCACCCCUGAAGGCAGCAGAGGAUCUCCUUUCUGAAGGAGGACAGGAGGACAGCUUCCUGAAGGACAUUCUGCCCAUUGCACAGAGGGGCUUCCAUGAUUGGUUUGGCCUGAUGUGACUUUUUUCCCCACCUUUGAAGGCCUAGAUUGGGUUUCCCAUUUCUUGGCUCUUUGGAAGGGCCAAUGGCUCCCUGUUUGACAGGCUGCACUGAGCAGCAGGUGCUCCAUUUAGACCCAGGCUGCCCCAAUCCCAGCUCUGAUCUAUCUCUCAGCUCUGAGGCUCCAUUGAGUCCCUGGGCCUCAGGGACCCUGUUCAGCCUUUGCUGAUGGUGGCAUCAAGUGACCUCUGAGCCACCUCCACGUUGGCUCUGACUGAGGAAACUGGUGGUCUUGUCUUGCCGUUUGCAAUACCUGAAGACAAAAACAGAACUUGUGCUGCAUUCUCAAGAAAGAAGAGACAACUGUUCCUGUACCUCACUCUUGUAGAUAUCUGUAUGAAGAAGCAGUGAUGGGUGCAUGCAGGCUAGGGAGCAUCAAGGCUUCCACGGCAUGGGCGCCAGCUGACCCCUGACCUCGUUUUCAUCUAUUGCUCCAGUCGUGGCUCUGAGAUCUGGGCAACCUGAGCCAGCUCGUGCAUUGCUUACCCUUAUGCUUUUGCACUGUCCAUCCCUGUCCCCUAGAACUCCCUCCAGUACAGUGCCCCACCCCAUCCCAUGCCAUCUCAUCUCACCCCAUCCCACCUCACUCCAUCGCAUCGCCUCAUCCCACCCCAUCCCAUCCCGUCUCACCUUACCCCAUCCCAUCCCAUCCCAUCCUACCCUAUCCUACCCCACCCCAUCCCAUCACCCCAUCCCAUCCUAUCCCAGCCUUUCCCAUCCCAUCCCACCCCAGCCCAUCCCAUCCGAUCCCAUCCUGCCCCAUACCAGCCCAUCCCACCCUAUCCCACCCCAUCCCAUCCCAUCCCACCCCAUCCCAUCCCAUCCCAUCCCAUCCCAUCCCAUCCCAUCCCAUCCCAUCCCACCCCAUCUCACCCCAUCCCACCUCAUCCAAAAGUAUGUGUUCUUGGGCUGCUACUGAACCUCUUACCUUCUGUCUUCUCACCUAUAAAAGGCGAAUUGGCAAGGUCAUCCCCUUUGGCAGGUAAGUAAAUGCAGAGGACAUAGUCCACGUUAAAUAAAUGACAGCGACUGCUGUUUUGCUGGUUGUCACGCCCAUGAGCAAGGCAGUACCUGUUCUCCCCACCAAGGACAAGCCAACCCUGCUACCCAGGUCCUGCUCAUGUCCUGAGCUCCUUAUACCUGCCACCAGAUUUUGUUUUAUAUCCUACCUGGGUUUCAGGAGAGAGAAUUUAAAAAAUCAAAUUAGGUAAAAUUGGAGUUAAAUGAUAAUGAUAACUUCUCAGCUACUUCAACCUCAGUUUCUGCCCUUUUUGAACUUGCCAAGGAGUGGAGGUAUCUUAACAGGCCCACUCUGUGACUGUUACCACUGUUCUCAUUUUAAUGCAGCUAUUUGUGUACUAGGUGCCUCUCUCCCAUGAAGCUAUGAACUACUUAAAGCACAAUGCGGAAAGGAAAGAAGGAAGGCAGGAAGGAAGGAAGGAAGGAAGGAAGGAAGGAAGGAAGGAAGGAAGGAAGGAAGGAAACAAGGCAGGCAGGAAGGAAGGCAGGCAGGAAGGAAUAAUUAAUGAAUAAUACUGCAUUCAGGAAACUAGACCCAGUAUUUUCAAAGUGACUCAUACCCAGCCAUCCUCUCCUUUGCCAGUUAGCAUUGAUAAUCUUCAAUUGCUCAACCACUUGUUUCUUUUAAUUUUAACAAUCUUACAGCUGAAGCUAUCUAAGAUUUAUUCAGGAGAAUAUAUUUUAUAACACUUCCUUUUUCCUAUAAACAUUGAAGGAAGGUUCGUGAUAUGGACCCUUGGCUGAAAUUUGAAGGUGAAAAAGGACUGCUCUGUUCCUAUUUAUGGUAUGGGAAUGACUUUCCUUCACCACUAGCCUGGGUGAAAUUUAAUGACUGACCAAGAGGGAAGUAAUUCAUUCUUCCUGUCAUCCUAUUUUAUUCCCCUGCCCCCUUUCCUUGUGCUCUCUUUCCCUGCUCAGUUCCUAUUAUGAUCUUUCUUUGUCAAAUAUGUUUCUCAUGAUUAAGUGCUUAUAUCUUCUUCUCCCCAGCAUAUUUGUUUGGAUAGAUUUAGGACAGAGAAAAAUGCUGAAAAUUGCCUGGUUUCUGUUUUCUUUAGAGAGAAAACCCUGAAAGAUUUUUAGCUAAUGGCAUUUGACCAGUUUUGAUCACUGUAAGAUUCUCUGGCUUUUAGUUCUAUAACCCUCCAGAAGUCUAGACCUUUUUGAUAUUAAAGAAAACAUGCACAUUUUGAGUGAGCUACUAAGUUCCAUCUAGUUGUUUCCAUUUUACAGAGACUAAGGACAGGGGACCAUUCAGAAGGCACAUAAGGAAACAAAUGGGACUUUGACCCAGAGACUGGACCCUGAGUGUGUAUGAAAUAGGAGGUGAUGGUGUUAUUAAGAAUUUCUUGCUUUGAGCUAGUUUCAUUACGGGUGAAGUCUGUACUUGAAGUUCCUCUCCUAACCUAACGAUGGUUGCAGGUGGGGCCAAAGUUAAUGGAGAACCUGGACUAACAGCCUCACCACCUUGGGUCACUUUCAGUAACCACCAGGCCUACCUGGAAGUGCAACUCUGGGUCAUGUGGAAGUGAAAACUGCAGUGGUAGACAUCCAGUGUCUAUUCUGGGGGUUCUGACUUGGUUCUCCGCUUACCUAUCUGAAGGGCUGGCUUGGCAUGGACUUAUUUAGUGUCUUUCUUUAUGGAACUCAAAAAGCCUUUAUAUGUAGCCUUGUCUUUCAGUUGUCCCAAGAAGCUCUAUUGGCAUUAGAAGCAAAGGUAUCUGCAACUAAAGUUUUCCAUAAUUUGCAUUUUUGUCCCAAGUUUUAUGGCCUUUGGCAGAACGUCACUGAGUCCUGGUCUUAUGGCCAGAAUACCUGAGUCUUAAAAUCUGAGACCAGGGGCUUCUGAUCAGAUGGGCCUGGGCCCCUGGCUCAAAUCUUACCUGCUUUACCAGCAAUAGAUGGCAACUCCUGCCCCCUUUCUCCUCUGUCCUUCAGAAAGGGCAGGAGCUGAAGUUGAAAGAGCUGAAAAGCUAUGAAGAUUUGUCAAAUGCUUUUAUUUUUUUCCAAUUCUGGUUUUUUAAUUAUCUCUUAUGAGGUCCAGUUAAAACAUAAUGCAGGUUCGGUCACUUCCGCUUGGAAAUCUCAGCCAUGAAGGAACUGGGAAGGUGCUCAAUAGCCACUAUUAACAGUUGUUCCUUACAACCACAUGGUGGCACUGCUGAAGAUCUGUCCUGCACAGCCCGGUGAACACACAUCCAUUGUAUUGAUGCCCUUGUUUUCUCCAUUUCUGCACAAGCUGAGAUCGUGGUCUAUGGGUGGCCUCCCAGCAUACAGUUCCCACAGUUCAUAUAGAUAGGCUUAGCAAAGCUUUCCCUGCCACAGGACACAGUGCUUGGGUGGCUAUGUUUAGGAGUUACCAGCACAAGCUAUGUUGGGAGCAGCCCUUCUCAACAAGACUUCAGGCCUUGUAUUGAGUCCAAGCCAGCAAAUAAACUCUCUGUGACUUCCUGAUCAAUUCCUCCUGGGAAUCUUGGGACAGGGACAUGAUUAGUCUUAACAGAUUCUCAAUUUUGAAUGUCUGGGUCUGUCUUUUUUUUUUCCUAAUAGGCUUUUGGCUUCUUCUACAAAUUUUUCAACUCCCAUCUUCUGUGGCCAGUUCUUCAUACCCAGGGGAGGAGAUAUUUGCUUUUGUUCUACUAUAAAAUGUUCAUUAGAUCACCAACCCCUAUCCAUCACUGCAGCCACACUUACACAACACUUCUUUGUCAGAAUGGAUGUACCAAGUUGCUUCAAAACCCAUCUUCUUUGUUCAACGAAGAGUUAAGUGGUUGGUGAGGAGCAAACAGUUUUUGGCAUUCCGCUACAAAAGACUCACAACCACUUAAAAAACUUUUUAUUUUUAAUUUUUUUGAGACGGAGUCUCACUCACUCUGUUGCCCAGGCUGCAGUGCAGUGGCGCAAUCUCGGCUCACUGCAAUCUCCGCCUCCUGGGUUCAAGUGAUUCUCCUGCCUCAGCCUCCCUGAGUAGCUGGGAUUACAGGUGUUUGCCACCACUCCCAGCUAAAUUUUUGUAUUUUUAUUAGAGACGGAUUUCACCGUUUUGGCCAGGCUGGUCUCGAACUCUUCAUCUCAAGUGAACCAUCCGCCUUGGCCUCCCAAGGUGCGGGGAUUACAGGUGUGAGCCACUGCACCUGGCCACGACCAUUUAGAAAAUGGUUUGAAUAUAGCAUUCAUGAUCUGUGGGCUAUGGAAACCUUAGUCUCACUACAAACUAUUCAAUAUAAGAAAGUCUCACUAGUUGUCUGGGCGAGGUGGUUUAUGCCUGUAAUGCCAGCACUUUGGGAGGCCGAGACAGGUGGAUCGUCUGAGGUCAGGAAUUCGAGAUGAACCUGGCUAACAUGGUGAAACCCCCGUUUCUACUAAAAAUACAAAAAAUUAGCCAGGUGAGGUGCUGUGCACCUCUAAUCCCAGCUACUUGGGAAGCUGAAGCAGGAGAAUCGCUUGAACCCGGGAGGUGGAGCUGAGAUUGCAUCAUUGCACUCCGGCUUGGCCAACGAGUGAAACUUCAUCUCAAAAAAAAAAAAAAAAAGAAAGUCUCACAGGUCAUUUACUGGUACAUUGACCUAUAGUUCUAAAAUUCGAAAAGUGGUUUCUAAAAUGUAAGCAUUUUAUUUCAGAAAAAUAAAUUCUUCAAAAUUUGGGGGAAUAUUUUUUAAAUGAUUUUAACAUUUCUAUUAUUAAGUAAUCUAUGUUAAACAUAAUUUUUAAAAAGUGUUAAAAUCAUGACUUAUACAAACAUGAAUGAAUGGCUAUCAAAGCUUUACUUUAACUCAUUUAUUAAUAAAAGAACCAGUAAGAUAUUACUACCAGUUCAAAAGAGAAUUUAAAAUAUACAUACAUAGGCAAUCAGGGACACUGAAGUGAAUUUACAAAUAGACACAAAACAGGUCAAUAUUCCAGGAGAAGUAACCAAGUCCAUCACCACCAAACAAAAUUUGCAUUUCUGUGGACACAGAUCACCUGCAUUACUAUCAGUUUUCUACAGUUUAUAGUUGUAAAAUAGCUCAAAGACAAGGAAAGUUAGUGAAAACUUGGAAGGGUGAACUAGGCAAGACAGACUACAAUCUUUUUUUUCUGGCCCAUUUCAAAGUCUUACACAAUUUUUAUAGACAUUUGCCUGAUUAUAAGUUCAAAGAAGGGAUAAUGGAUAGCUAGUAGAACAUCUCAACAAUGAUCCCUUCCUUACAUCUUAUACAAAAAUUAAUUCAAGAUGGAUUAAAGAUUUAAAUGUAAGACCUAAAACCAUAAAAACCCUAGAAGAAAACCUAGGCAAUACCAUUCAGGACAUAGGCAUGGGCAAAGACUUCAUGUCUAAAACACCAAAAGCAAUGGCAACAAAAGUCAAAAUAGAUAAAUGGGAUCUAAUUAAACUAAAGUGCUUCUGCACAGCAAAAGAAACUAUCAUCAGAGUGAACAGGCAACCAACAGAAUGGGAGAAAAUUUUUGCAAUCUAUUAUUUUGACAAAGGGCUAAUAUCCGGAAUCUACAAGAACUUAAACAAAUUUACAAGAAAAAAACAAACAACUCCAUCAAAAAGUGGGAGAAGGAUAUGAAUAGACACUUCUCUAAAGAAGACACUUAUGCAGCCAACAAACAUGAAAAAAAAGCUCAUCAUCACUGGUCAUUAGAGAAAUGCAAAUCACAACCACAAUGAGAUACCAUCUCACACCAGUUAGAAUGGCGAUCAUUAAAAAGUCAGGAAGCAACAGAUGCUGGAGAGGAUGUGGAAAAAUAGGAACGCUUUUACACUGUUGGUUCGAGUGUAAACUAGUUCAACCAUUUUGGAAGUCAGUGUGGCAAUUCUUCAAGGAUCUGGAACCAGAAAUACCAUUUCACCCAGCAAUCCCAUUACUGGGUAUAUACCCAAAGGAUUAUAAAUCAUUCUGCUGUAAAGACACAUGCACAUGUAUGUUUAUUGUGGCACUGUUCACAAUAGCAAAGACUUGGAACCAACCCAAAUGCCCCUCAGUGAUAAACUGGAUAAAGAAAACAUGGCACAUAUAUACUAUGGAAUACUAUGCAGCCAUAAAAAAGGAUGAAUUCAUGUCCUUUGCAGGGACAUGGAUGGAGCUGAAAAACCGUCAUUCUCAGCAAACUAACACAAGAACAGGAAACCAAACACCGCAUGUUCUCACUCAUAAGUGGGAGUUGAACAAUGAGAACACAUAGACACAGGGAGGGGAACAUCACACACCAGGGCCUGUCGAGGGGUUGGGGGCUAGAGGAGGAAUAGCAUUAGGAGAAAUACCUAAUGUAAAUGACGGGUUGAUGGGUGCAGCAAACCACCAUGGCAUGUGUAUACCUAUGUAACAAACCUGCACGUUCUGUCAGAUUAUUCUUAGCCACUCUCUUGCUACAUUCUCUGUGGUUUUCUUUGUGGUGUAGUAGAAAGGGCACUAGACUUGCUGGUGGAGAUUGUAUUCUCAGAGGUGUGAUUUACCUGUUGAUGCAGGUUUUGUUGAAUUAACUCAAUCUCUCUGAGCCUCAGUACUCUCCCUGGAAAAUGUGGAUAAUUAUUUACUCUGCAAGACUCAUCAUAUCACUGCUUAGCAGAUUCAGUGAGAGGAUGCAUGAUGAUGAACCACAAAGGUAUCCCUCCUUCAGACCCUGCCAAGGAGGUCACAUUCACACAUCACUGUCUGUUCUGCAGCUCCACUUUGAUGUCCUAGGGUCAUCUCAUAACUAACCAGGCCAAAGCUCUGCUGUUUAUUCCCACUUUCAUCCCUCAAAACUUAUUUUGCUUCAUGGCAUCACCAUCCACCCAGUUUCUUAGUCCAAAAACCCAGGGUUCAUUGAGGAUUAACCACUUCCUUUACCCUCACAUCAAAUCUAACACCACACCUUAUUGGCUUUACUUUCAAAGUAUCUUUCUAGUCUCACCAUUCUCACAAUUUCCAAUGUUACCACCCGGGACCAAGCCAAUGCCAGCUAUUCCCUGGACUUUUCCAUGAUUGUCUCUUAAUCUUGAGUUGGCCUUUCUACAACCAGGCUUUCCCACCUAAAUUCCAUUCCUUUCCCCCAAAGCAGCCAGAAUGACCUUUUAACAAAUGUAUAUCAGAGCAUAUCACCCCUCUAUUAAAAAUCUCCCAAUAGAUUCGUAUUGCAUUCAUAAUAAAGACGAGCCGAGAGCAGUGGCUCAUGCCUGUUAUCCCAGCACUUUGGAGACUGAGGCGGGAGGAUCAUGAGGUCAGGAGUUCGAGACCAGCCUGUCCAGCAUGGUGAAACCCUGUCUCUACUAAAAAUACAAAAAAUUAGCUGGGCAUGGUGGUGCAUGCCUGUAGUCCCAGCUACCUGGGAGGCUGAGGCAGGAGAAUCACUUGAACCCAGGAGGCAGAGGUUGCAGUGAGCCGAGAUCAUACCACUGCACUGUAGCCUGGGUAAUAGAGCAAGACUGUCUCAAAAAAAAGAGGUGAAAUUCCCCCACGCCUCAUAUCUUAAAAGGACUACCUCAUGUCCUAAAAGGAUGACAUGUCCUCAUGUCCUAAAACAACUACCUACCGUGCUGUCUAACUCUCUGCCUUUGUGUCUUCGUUUCCCUUUGGCUGCCUGGCUCCAGCCACACUGGCCUUAAUAUUCUGUACUGGGCCAUGCCCCUUCCUGCUGCAGGGACUUUGAAUUUGCUGCGUCCUCUGCUGAGAACAUUCCCUCUGAAGAUUCAGAACGCUUUGUACUGCUCCAACACCAAAUAUUUAAUCGUCAGUCUAAUCUUGGAUAUUUGAAAUCUUCUCCAUACAUAUCAUGAGAUACUCUUUGCAAGAAUAAGCUUUUGUUUCACUACCAAGAGGUGAGUGCAUUUUGAAAUCCACUGGAACCUCACAGGUAUUGAAUCUCUUCUGUGCACAUUUGGAUGUGGAAAAUGGAAACUUGUAAGUCUACGGAAACUAAACCAGAGCAGGUUUUAUAGUUGGGCCUAAAAUACAGUUUCUAGGGUUCACUUUAAAAAUAUUUUCUAUUUUUUCCUGGAUUUUAUUGCAAAUGUUUUGUCGUUGUUUUGAUUUUGUUUUUUGUCUACACCUGGGUUUGAUUCCUCCACUAUUAGGUACUCACUGUGCUGUGAUGGUUUGAAUGCAGGUUUGGCCUCUUCUCCAGGUUGUGACUACCGGGAAGACAGGGCACCUGUCCUAUUCACCUUUGCAUCUCUGGUGUCUCACUCAGGAUAGGGCACAGUGCUUGCCAAGGACCUGCUGCUGGAGCUGAGAACCUAAUGAUCACAGUGUCAGCCUCUGCCAGCCUUUGUGUGUGUGGCAGGGGUGGUUUUGAGUCCCACCGUCUUCCAUCCCUGAUGCUUGGAGAAACUGAGGACACACAGGUUUCCAAGAUAUAAAUUUUGAGACCCAGAAUUUUUAGGAGUAUUUUAAGACUCCAAAGAUAAGAAUCCUUAAGAACUAACUGUGGAAUGAGAAACACUGCCAGUGUGCGUCUAGACCCUUCACCUGGCGCCUGUGGCUGGUCUGUGCUGUAUGGCUUGUUCUGGGUUUCCCCUGCACCUACUGGUGACUGCCAUACAGCUUCAUUCUGUACACGUUUUACCUACGGGAAGCUUGGUUGAACACUGAACAUUUUGCUCUCAAUUCCUAG